UCUCAUUGCAUCCAGCCAUUUGAGAUGAAAAAUGAAAUUUGAUCUACAGCAAAUGUGGAUAAAAUUCAUUCAGUGUGAAGCGCUGGAUGAUGAAAUAGCACUCUGGAGACUAGAAUAGGGGAACUUACUGCAAUGAAUCCUGUUUCCAACAAAAUAUCUCCUCAUGUUAGAUUCCACCGGUUUAAUUGUUUUUCUUUUGGACGUCUACCUACAUCAGGGGUUCAACUAAAGCUUAAUGUAUGACAUAUAUAUAAGGACUGAGUAUCAGUCCUUAUAUAUAAGGACCUUAUAUAAGGACUGAUACUCAGUCCUUAUAUACCAUGAUGUCAUAGUACAAUAUAAACUGUAAAGUUUGAUCAAACACAUCUAGAAAAUUGGCAGUGUUUUGUGUGAUUUCUUUGAAGUUGGUAGCAACUCUUCCAUGUUGAUUUUGGUAUAGUAAUUGAAUGCAACUUCCAAUUUAAGUGCACAGACUAUGAAUGUAGUCUGUGAUAAGUUUAGUAAGAGAAGAACUUUAUUGGAUCACCUUGCAACCUCUUACUUUCAUUUGAAAGUAAUUCAAGUAGGUCAUCCUAAUGCAAUAAUAAUUUCUGAUUAAAUUUUUAAAAAUUUCUUUACAGCACUCAUGCAACCACCAUUUAGACAUCUUAAAAACAUAUUUUAGGAUAUGCAAACUAUGGCACUAAGUUAAUGUCUCCAUACUUCGCAUGUUUGUCUCAUGUGAAAAAGAAUGAAAAUGGAAUGUGAUGCUUAGUUAGCAUAAUGAGGUCAGAAGAUCGCCCAACAUCUAUGGAAAAAUGACUUAGCUGAUGCUACAUUUAGCAGGUUGGCUUUAUUGGAGAACUGUUAAAUAUUUGAUAUUCAUAGUGUUCGCAAGGCUUUUAAGAAAAUAGUUUUCAUUGCACUAGCGACAAUUCGGAAUGGCAAGGUGCGAAUGAUUCGGAUUAAAAGUCAGCGUGGAAAUGCAAUAGAUUCGCAGCUGGCAACAAAUUAGAGGACGAUUGGUGAUGAGACAAUUUAUUAUAAUCGCUGUAACGAAGUACGUACUACCCGAUUUAAACAGUUCAACGCGGAAUCAACUUACCAUCCAGCAACGCAUCCAUCAACAGAAUGUAUUAAAGAGGAAAGUAAUUGACCAAAUGCCGACUCGACGAUUCCCAUGCAAGAUAAAUGUUAUAAAUCCAAGGAGAUUUGGUGAGCGGAAUGCAACGGGCUAUGUCAUAUCAAACCAUUAGCUGAAUACAAUGAAUACCAUCACUUCACCAGAACGAGAGGUUAAUAAUCAUACUGGAUCAAAAGAGGCAUCAAGUUAAACGAGAUUUUAAAAUGAUAACAGUUGGAAGCGCAUGUAGAAAUUUCGAAGAACGCUACCUAAACGUUAUCUUUAGUCACAGAUUCAUCUCGAAGAUAAAAUAAGUUAUUUUUAUAAAUUUAAGUGCAUAUCUGGGCUCCCUUCUUUUAUGUGGCCCCGUUUCCCCUUGACUUAUGAUAAGCCCGUAGGGGGUCAUGCCCCUACUGUGAUCAGCAGCAAAGGUUGUG